UACGAAGGGGGCUAGCGUUGUUCGGAAUUACUGGGCGUAAAGCGCGCGUAGGCGGUGAUCCAUGUCAGAGGUGAAAUCCCGGAGCUCAACUCCGGAACUGCCUUUGAAACGGGAUCGCUAGAGUCCGAGAGAGGAUAGCGGAAUUCCUAGUGUAGAGGUGAAAUUCGUAGAUAUUAGGAAGAACACCGGUGGCGAAGGCGGCUAUCUGGCUCGGUACUGACGCUCAGGCGCGAAAGCGUGGGGAUCAAACAGG
rnacentral:rRNA from 1 species